ACGGCUCAGUAACACGUAGUCAACAUGCCCAGGGGACGUGGAUAACCUCGGGAAACUGAGGAUAAACCACGAUAAGUCACUACUUCUGGAAUGGGUAAUGACUCAAAUCUACAUGGCCCCUGGAUUGGACUGCGGCCGAUCAGGCUGUUGGUGAGGUAAUGGCCCACCAAACCUGUAACCAGGUACGGGCUCUGAGAGGAGGAGCCCGGAGAUGGGCACUGAGACAAGGGCCCAGGCCCUAUGGGGCGCAGCAGGCGCCGAAACCUCUGCAAUAGGCGAAAGCCUGACAGGGUUACUCUGAGUGAUUUCCGUUAAGGAGAUCUUUUGGCACCUCUAAAAAUGGUGCAGAAUAAGGGGUGGGCAAGUCUGGUGUCAAGCCGCCGCGGUAAUACCAGCACCCCGAGUGGUCGGGACGUUUAUUGGGCCUAAAGCAUCCGUAUGCCGGUCUACAAGUCUUUCCGUUAAAUCCGCCUGCUUAACAGAUGGGCUGCGGAAGAUACUAUAGAGCUAGGAGGCGGGAGAGGCAAGCGGUACUCGAUGGGUAGGGGUAAAAUCCGUUGAUCCAUUGAAGACCACCAGUGGCGAAGGCGGCUUGCCAGAACGCGCUCGACGGUGAGGGAUGAAAGCUGGGGGAGCAAACCGGAUUAGAUACCCGGGUAGUCCCAGCUGUAAACUGAUGCAGACUCGGUGAUGAGUUGGCUUUAUGCCAACUCAGUGCCGCAGGGAAGCCGUUAAGUUUGCCGCCUGGGGAGUACGGUCGCAAGACUGAAACUUAAAGGAAUUGGCGGGGGAGCAC
rnacentral:rRNA from 1 species